AGAGUUUGAUCCUGGCUCAGAACGUACGCUGGCGGCCGCCUAUACAUGCAAGUCGAACGAAGUAGCAAUACUUAGUGGCAGACGGGUGAGUAACAUGUGGGUAUCUUCCCUUUGGUGAGGAAUAACACGAGGAAACUUGUGCUAAUACCUCAUAAGUCUUUACGGAGAAAGCUUUAUGCGCCAUUGGAUGAGCCUGCACUUGAUUAGUUUGUUGGUGGGGUAAUGGCCUACCAAGACAAUGAUCAAUAGCUGAUUUGAGAGGAUGAUCAGCCACAUUGGGACUGAGACACGGCCCAAACUCCUACGGGAGGCAGCAGUAGGGAAUCUUGCACAAUGGAGGAAACUCUGAUGCAGCGAUGCCGCGUGAGUGAAGAAGGCCUUUGGGUUGUAAAGCUCUUUCGUCGGGGAAGAAAAUGACUGUCCCGAAUAAGAAGGUCCGGCUAACUUCGUGCCAGCAGCCGCGGUAAUACGAAGGAGCCUAGCGUAGUUCGGAAUUACUGGGCUUAUAGAGUUCGUAGGUGGUUAAAAAAGUUGAUGGUGAAAUCCCAGAGCUUAACUCUGGAACUGCCAUCAAAACUUUUUAGCUAGAGUAUGAUAGAGGAAAGCAGAAUUUCUAGUGUAGAGGUGAAAUUCGUAGAUAUUAGAAAGAAUACCAACUGCGAAGGCAGCUUUCUGGAUCAUUACUGACGCUGAGGAACGAAAGCAUGGGUAGCGAAGAGGAUUAGAUACCCUCGUAGUCCAUGCCGUAAACGAUGUGUGUUAGACGUGGAAAUUUAUUUUCAGUGUCGCAGUAAAACAAUAACACACCGCC
rnacentral:rRNA from 1 species